rnacentral:rRNA from 1 species
CCUACGGGGGGCUGCAGUCGAGAAUCUUCGGCAAUGGGCGCAAGCCUGACCGAGCGACGCCGCGUGCGGGAUGAAGGCCUUCGGGUUGUAAACCGCUGUCGUAGUGGAGGAAAUAUCAGGGGGUUCUCCCCUUGGUUUGACUGAUACUAGGAGGAAGGGUGGGCUAAGCUCGUGCCAGCAGCCGCGGUAAGACGAGCCACCCAAACGUUAUUCGGAAUCACUGGGCUUAAGGCGCCCGUAGGCGGCCGGCUGAAAUCCCGCGGCCGAACCGAGGAAUUGCGCCCAAAACUAGUGGGCUGGAGGGAGAUAGAGGUGAGCGGAACUGAUGGUGGAGCGGUGAAAUGUGUUGAUAUCAUCAGGAACACCGGUGGCGAAAGCGGCUCACUGGGUCUCUUCUGACGCUGAGGCACGAAAGCUAGGGUAGCGAACGGGAUUAGAUCCCUUGUAGUC